GACGAACCGAGCGAACGUUGUUCGGAAUCACUGGGCUUAAAGGGCGCGUAGGCGGGCCGCCGCGUCCGGGGUGAAAUCCUCCCGCUCAACGGGAGAACGGCCUCGGAUACGGGCGGCCUGGAGGGGGGUAGGGGCGUGCGGAACUGUGGGUGGAGCGGUGAAAUGCGUUGAUAUCCACAGGAACUCCGGUGGCGAAGGCGGCACGCUGGACCCCACCUGACCGCUGAGGCGCGAAAGCCAGGGGAGCGAACGGG
rnacentral:rRNA from 1 species